UACGAAGGGGGCUAGCGUUGUUCGGAAUCACUGGGCGUAAAGCGCACGUAGGCGGAUCUUUAAGUCAGGGGUGAAAUCCCGAGGCUCAACCUCGGAACUGCCUUUGAUACUGGGGAUCUCGAGUCCGGGAGAGGUGAGUGGAACUGCGAGUGUAGAGGUGAAAUUCGUAGAUAUUCGCAAGAACACCAGUGGCGAAGGCGGCUCACUGGACCGGAACUGACGCUGAGGCGCGAAAGCGUGGGGAGCAAACGGG
rnacentral:rRNA from 1 species